rnacentral:ncRNA from 2 species
AUCGAUCGUCGUGGUGAUUUGCGGCCUAUUGCAGCCACGUAAAACAAGUCGCUAAAAAGCUCGCCCUCGGCGCUUU